rnacentral:sRNA from 2 species
UCGUGUUCAUGUGAUCUAACGUAUCACGACUAAACGUAAGGGUAAAGCGGCUGGCGUAUCGUCCGGGCAUAAAGUCAUAUCGCCUGAACAGAUAACAUCUCACUGACUUUGAAACGCGAUUUUAUAAUUUGCUGCCCAAAAAUACGUGGCGCUGAAAGGCGCAUUUUU